rnacentral:rRNA from 1 species
GAUGAACGCUGGCGGCGUGCUUAACACAUGCAAGUCGAACGGAACUACUCCAAUGAGAGUCUUCGGAAAGGAUUUGGUUUAGUUUAGUGGCGGAUGGGUGAGUAACUCGUGGGUAACCUGCCCUAUACAGGGGGAUAACAGUUGGAAACGACUGUUAAUACCGCAUAAGCGCACAGGAGCGCAUGCUCCGGUGUGAAAAACUCCGGUGGUAUAGGAUGGACCCGCGUCUGAUUAGCUGGUUGGCGGGGUAACGGCCCACCAAGGCGACGAUCAGGAGCCGGACGGAGAGGGUGAACGGCAAGAUUGGAAGUGAGACACGGCCAAAACACCUACGGGAGGCAGCAGUGGGGAAUAUUGCACAAUGGGGAAAAACCUGAUGCAGCGAAGCCGAGUGAGAGAAGAAGUAAGUCGGUAUGUAAAGCACUAUCAGCAGGGAAGAAAAUGACGGUACCUGAAUAAGAAGACCAGGCUAACUACGUG